AACGCGAAGAACCUUACCUGGUCUUGACAUCCACAGAACUUUCCAGAGAUGGAUUGGUGCCUUCGGGGACUGUGAGACAGGUGCUGCAUGGCUGUCGUCAGCUCGUGUUGUGAAAUGUUGGGUUAAGUCCCGCAACGAGCGCAACCCUUAUCCUUUGUUGCCAGCGGUUAGGCCGGGAACUCAAAGGAGACUGCCAGUGAUAAACUGGAGGAAGGUGGGGAUGACGUCAAGUCAUCAUGGCCCUUACGACCAGGGCUACACACGUGCUACAAUGGCAUAUACAAAGAGAAGCGACCUCGCGAGAGCAAGCGGACCUCAUAAAGUAUGUCGUAGUCCGGAUUGGAGUCUGCAACUCGACUCCAUGAAGUCGGAAUCGCUAGUAAUCGUAGAUCAGAAUGCUACGGUGAAUACGUUCCCGGGUCUUGUACACACCG
rnacentral:rRNA from 1 species